rnacentral:tRNA from 1 species
GCAUUGGUGGUUCUGUGGCAGAAUUCUCGCCUUCCAUGUGGGCAACCAGGGUUUGAUUCUCAGCAAGUGCA